UACAGAGGUCCCAAGCGUUGUUCGGAUUCACUGGGCGUAAAGGGUGCGUAGGUGGUGAGGUAAGUCGGAUGUGAAAUCUCCAAGCUCAACUUGGAAACUGCAUUGGAAACUACCUUGCUUGAGGGUUUGAGGGGGGAUUGGAAUACUUGGUGUAGCAGUGAAAUGCGUAGAUAUCAAGUGGAACACCAGUGGCGAAGGCGAAUCCCUGGAAAAUACCUGACACUGAGGCACGAAAGCGUGGGUAGCAAACAGG
rnacentral:rRNA from 1 species